AUGCGGGCUAUGCCGUGCGGCCAGGGUUUCUUCCACCAUAUAGGGCUACUCAGUCAAAAUUGUCCUAGCUUGCUGCAUUUUGGUCUUUCCAUAACAGGGACCCAAGUGUACAACCACCUCCGCAAGUGGCGUGCUAGGUGGGUGAAGAUAAGUAAGCUCCGAGACAUUAGUGGAUCACUUUGGGAUGACAACAACUAUGUCAUAUCGCUGGAGGAAGAGCACUACCUGGGUCAUAUCAAGGACCAUCCAAAAGAUGUUGAGUACCUCAAUGUGCCUUUAGAGAAUUAUGUUCAGAUGCUUGCUAUCUUUGGGAGUGGUAUUGCUACAGGAAGGUAUGCAAUGACAUCUCAUCAGGCUCUUGGGGUUCCUUCAAUGGUGGAAACCUCCCCAUCUUUUGUAAACCUUGAAGGUUGUGGUUCUGAAUUUGUUGUUGAUGGGAAUGAACCUGGCUCGAGUGCUACUGCUGCUGCUCAUGGGGAAGAUAUUGGUGCUGCUCCUCAUGGGAAGGAACCAUGUAAGGAUGCUUCCAGCUCCACUGGCAAAAGGAAAAGGGCUAGCCUGAUGAGUGAAGAAGAAGUUCUGGUCAUGAGCAACAUGUCUGAUGCAGUCCGUGAAGUUGCUAUUGCUAUCAAGUCCACCGGAGAGGCACACCCAGAGCUUUACAAUGCUGUCAUGGAGCUCCCUGGUUUUACCGAGGAUGAUCUAUUGAUUGUCUUGGAUUAUCUCAAUGAGAACGCCAACAGGGCUAGGAGCCACUCAUUCGUGCAGAUGUCAGAGACUCGUCGCACUCGUUGGGCCAUUCACCACCUCUCCAAGCUCAACGGUGAAGUGCCCGUGCCCAAGGAUGGAGUGCCACAGGAUGGAGCGCCUAAGGAUGGAGCGCCUAAGGAAGGAGUGUGA
rnacentral:rRNA from 1 species